rnacentral:lncRNA from 1 species
UUGCAAUGGCGGACCGCGGCCAUUUGCAGAAAGAUGACCGCGAAUUUUAGCCCAGUUUUAGUAUGUGCUGGAGUCUUGUAAUGGUUUUAAUGUAAAUUCUGAUAUAAAAAAUAUUGAUGGAGAUGAUUGUGAAUUAAUUACAUUGAUUCUUGUUGAAACUAAGAUUAUUUUAUUGAAAAUGGAAAAUGACCUUGGAAAUGGACAAGAUGGCUCCUUUCUUUGCAUUCAACCGUGAAAUUCAUCACGUGAUUUCUUUAUUUAGAAAAUUUUGUUAGGUGAAGGUCACAAUUUGAUUUAAAGGGGAGGAGUUUAUAAAUAGUUAUAUUCAUUUAUUGUACAUGUAUGUAGAUAUUAUACGAGAUUCAUAUGUAUGAAAAAAACCCAGAUAAAGAUUUAGAUUAUGUACAUUGUAAACUGCACACAAUGUUCAAAAGAAAGCUUUGUUUUUAGGGACUGUCAUUCAAUUAUCAGUACAAGCAGGCAAGAAAUUUCAGCUGAAUUAAUUUCUGAAAUACUUUAAAUUUUUUGGAGUUAUGGAACUUAAAAAAGUGAUACAUGUACAAUGUAGCCUUACUGGAAUAAAAUUAACGGUAUCAAUUUUCUUGCACCAGAUGCGCAUUUCGACAAUACAUGUCUCUUCAGUGAUGCUCGUGGCCAAAAUAUUGAAAUCAAACUUAUAUAAAGAUGAAGAGCUAUAAUGCAAAGUCCAAAGUAUAGCCAAUCGUGAAAGGAUCAGAGUUUGCAUGAGGAAUACAUUAUUAAUUUUAAUUUCUAUUUUUGUAAAGAAAUUUUAAUAACAAAAAUCCUUUUAUGCAGUACGAAGUAUGGUAUGGGCUGGUGAUACUCGGGGACUAUAUCCACCAGCAGAGGCUCGCCCAGAUAGUAAUAAUUCGUAUCAAUUUCUUGGAGAAUUACAAACGUUUUAACGACGUCGUAUAUUGCUAUCAGUUGGGUGUCGUCGCCGGCGUCGAAUUUUAGUUUUCGCACUCUAACUUUAGUAAAAGUAUAAAUCUAUGAUUUUAACACAAGGUUUAUGCAUAAGGAAGGUUGGUAUUGAUUUUGGAGUUUGUAACAUUUUAGGAAUUAGGGCCCAAAGGGCCCAUAAGCAUUUUCUUGGUUUUCGCACAUAAUUAGUUUAAGUUAAUAGAAUCUAUGAAUUUUGACACAAGGUUAUGACAAAAGAAGAGGGGUUGUUUUGGGAGUUUUGGUUUCAAUAUUUUAGGAAUAAGGCAAUAAGCUUUUUUUUUUUUUGCCAUAACUUAGUUAAGUAAAUAGAAUCUAUGAAAUUUAAACACAAUGUUUAUGACCACAAAGGAAGGUUGGUAUUGUUUUGGAGUUAGGACAAAGUUUGGAUUAGGGCCAAAGGGACCAAAUAAGCAUUUUUUUUUUCGCCAUAACGUUAGUAUAAGUAAUAAAUUAUGAAAUUUAAACACAGGCUUAUGCAUAAGGAAGGUUGGUAUUGAUUUUGGGAGUUUUGUCCCAAAGUUUAGGAAAAAGGGGCCAAAGGGUCAAUUAAACUUUGUUUGUUUCAUCAAAUUGAAUAAUUGGGGUUCUUGAUGCCGAUCUAACUGUAUAUGUAGAUUCUCAACUUUUGGUCUUUUCAAAUUGGUCUACUUAAGGUCAAAGGGUCCAAAAUUAACUAAGUUUGAUUUUGACAAAAAUGAUCAGUUGGUUCUUUGUAUGUUGAAUGUAAAAUGUACUAAUUCUUGUUUUUGAAGUUUUUUGGUCAGUUUCCAAAUUGGUCUACAUAAGGUCAAGGGUCCAAAAUUAAAUUUGUUUAUUUACAAAAUUGCUCUUGGGUUCUUGAUAUGCAAAUCUCACUGUGUAGUGAUUUUCAUUUUUGGUCUGUUUUCAAAUUUCAAUUCUACAUUAAAGUCAAGGUCAAAUUAAACAUUUGAUUAACAAAAUGAAUUUGGCUCUUGCUAUCUGAAUCUAAAUGUAUUGAUUUUGAUUAUGGCCGAGUUUCAGUUGGUCAAAUCAGGUCUAAAUAUUAUAUUAAGUUUGUGCUGCAGUUUUUCAAUGAGUUUUGCAAUGGAAAUAUCUAAUUGCACAAUAUUGUGAAUAGCAAAAUUUUUUUUUAAUUAGAGUUUAUCUUUCUUUGUCAGAAUAGUAAGCAAAUAUCUAUUGCCAUAUUGUGCAUAGAAGAAUUUUUUUAUUGAGUUUCUUUCUUUGUCGAAUCACUAAAUUUUGUUAUAUACAAUACAAUGUAUUACAUUUUACUACCAUGAUAAUUUAAUAAUUUACCAUUCAGUAUAACAACGUUUUUUUACUCUUAUUUUUUGAUGUAUUUAAUGAGUAGUUUGUUGCAACUCCAUUGAAUUGACUUGAAUAUUUGAAAAGAAAAGGGGAUGUGAAAAAAAGGGGGGGGGGUUAAAUUUUUCUCAUUUCGAUUUCUAAUAAAAAGAAAGCAUAGUGAUUGCUCAAGGCAAAAAAAUUUUAAGUCAUAGACACAUUCAUUCGUGUCAGAACUAUUGUGUCACUCUUUAAUUUUAGAUUAAAAGUUGAAGAGAUUUUAUUGAUUUGUAAUUUGGCAUUUGUUUUGUUAAAAAACCAUGUAAUGUCAAAAUUUGAUCACAAUCAAUUCAGAGUGUAUAUGCUUGAUGUUUUGUAUACUUGCCCAAUGUUCGGGUUCGUUACUUGGUUGUAUAAAGUGCGCCUGCGAGCACCUGGUAUGUUGCCCCUUAUAUUUAUUUAUGCUGAAAAGAUAUAAUGUUUCUUAAUUAAAAACCACUACAUUCUUGUGUUUUACGGAAUAAAGUUAUGCGCUGGUUAAUGUAGCAGACGACGAAAAAUUAAGUUUAGUAAAUGUCAAAAUAAUGACUCCCUCUCUUGGAAAUUACAUGAAGUAAGCACACAAGCUAGUGCAAAUUGUCUUCUUUUGUCAUGAUAUAGAUAGAAAAAUAUCUCUUGAAUCUGUUCAUAUGUGUGAUACCCUUUAUUUUUCCCAAAUAAUCCAAAAAUAAACGUUUUCUCAGACUCGGGUGAAAAUGAGCAUUGUCAGAAGAAAAUAGUAUAUUUAUUGAAAAGUCCCAAGAACUCUGAAAGUAAAGGUUAAAUAUAAAUUAAAAUCAUAGGUUCACUAACUAAAAAGAGAAUUCAGUGCUUCUUAGACGAAAGAACUUGCAUAAAAACCAAAAAUCUGAAUUAUUUCCUUUUCAAAGAAAAUUUUUUGUCACUAAUUUCGUCUUCAACUACUGCUAAAGAAUUUGAAGUAAAAUACCAUAUUACACUUCUUAUUUUCUUAGGAAAUGUGUUUAAGAUAAGAUUAAUGUAUGUUUCAUAAAUUUAGAUCAUUUUCAUUGAUUUUUUUCUGCCAGAUAUAUAAAUAUAGUGCCGUUUGUAAUUGCAUCCAUAUUGGGCUUGCUAGACCCAUAAAACCAGGUCAUGAAAAUCUGAUCAAAGUAUCCCAACGUAAAUAGAAAGUUAUGUGUGUUUAGAUUCAAAAUGAAAAGCAUUCAUACAUCUUUAAUUCUAUGGUACAAACAAUUCAAGAAAAGUAUUCUACAAAGAAAAAAAAUAAUUAAAGUUCAAAAAUCUUUCGUAAUUGUGUCCAGUGAGGCUAGGCAUAUUGUGUGCUCAUAUCAAAGAUCUGAAUUGUAACAAUGUUGAAAAGAGCUUUUUUAACCUAGUUGGUUCUCCUGUCUGGUUGUUGAUCUACCUGUACAAGCUCAGGUGCAAGUGGUUAGCGAUCUUAAUCCGGAUAUCCCUCAGGCGUUUGAACUGUAUUGGAUUAUAACAUAAAAAGCCUAAGGGUUAUGCAAUUACAUGCAUUUGAUUAUAAUUGAUAAAAAAAUGGCAUCGGGCUAAUAAAAACGAUGAAGUUUCGAACCAUGGCGGAAGACAAUUUAACGAUGGCGCAAGACAAUUUAACGAUGGCGCUAGUCAUUUGACGAUGGCGCAAGACAUUUGAACGAUGGCGGGGUGUCAUCAUUAAACAGGCCAUGGAGAUCCCUGCCAACAUACAAGUCAUAUUAAUACUUAACUGUAUAUUACAAACAUAAUUACAGUUUGCUUACUCACAGUUCAACUGGUCAGGAGAGAUAAGUUCUGCUGUAGAAAAUGCACAAUCAACUCAUCGAAGUGCAAAGUGAUAUAAUACACUUAAACAACCACAACAAUUUCCAAUUAUUGGUAUUUUUUGGUUGUCAAAAAUGCAAAAUUGAGGUCAAGUUCAACAUUUUCAUUUUAUCAUUUAGGAGUUAUGCCUUAUGGUCCUUAAUUGGUUUGAAAAUGGCACUUUGUCUUUUCUUUAAAAUAAAUUAUGAGUACAUUGUACAUGAACUGUUUUACAAAUGUGUUUCAUAUUUAAUGGUUUUGUUAACUUACUGUCAGAUACAAAUUGAAAAAAUUGAGAUCAAGUUUGAUAUUUUAAGAGGAUUUUCAUUUUUACCAUUCUGAGUUAUUGCCCUUUAUUGCUUUUACAAUGAAAAUUAUAAAAAUGUGAUAAAAACCAGUUAGCUGUAUUGUAAAGGACAGAAGCUCCAACCUCUCUUUUAAAUAUUUAAUGUACAUUUGUAUUGGACUAUUGGUUGACCAACAAAAUAUACAUAACAGGCUAUUAUUUAAAGUUGGAAUUAUUUUUAAUUAUGGAAUUUGUUUAAUUUUCUGUGCUGGAAAUUUUUAAUAAAUUCCAUGUUUAUUUGGUAUAAUAAUGUUUUGAGCUGUUCAUAACACUUUCCAUAUAAUGUAUUUUGUAUAGAUAGUGUUGUGCGCGGCACAGUACAUUCUAUUGAAAAUGUACUAUCUUCUUUGUAAAAGAAGUGUUGUGCGCAAGCACAGACCAUUGAAGUACAGAAUAAGCAUGGAAUUUACUAGAAAUUUCAAGCACAAGAAAUUAUAAAAAUUCCAUGAUUAAUAAUAAUUCCAAGUUUAAAUAAUAGCCUGUUACAUGUAUUUUCAAAAAAUCAGAACAAAAGAGCACCUAAAAACUUUUAAGUUAAAUGUUUGAAUUUACUGUGAAUGUAUCACUGUAGGCAAGAUAUUUUAAUCUUAUGUCAUUCAAUUAUAUAAGCUUUCACAUAUUUCCAGGUGGGGAUGACAAAAUAAAACUGGAAGAUGAAGUAUCAGAAACAGAUGCUGAUUUUACAGAAUAUAUGACUGGCAAAAAACUUCCACCUGGUGGUAUUCCUGGACUUGAUUUAAGUGACCCAAAACAACUUGCAGAAUUUGCCAG